ensembl:lncRNA
GUCACAAUAUAAAACAGCAGUCAAACCAGAGAGACUGAACAUUCACUAUUCAGAUCACAACUGCAACAUUUUUAAUUUGUUCUUCUGGUUGUGGUUGGAGAAGAUAAACAUGGAACUGAUGAAGAACUUAACUGAACCUCAUUCAUCUGCCAACCUCACAGUAUCUUCAUUUUGGAAAAUGGACAUAUUAGAAAUUUGGAUGCUGACCUUCAACUUCUUAUCUGGUCUUCCUAUACACUUUUAUGUAAUCUGGCUCAUCAUCACAGGAACAGGAAGUGGAAUUGCAUUAGAAUUCUUCAAUCUUAAUAUGUCCGUUUGUGGGAUCUUUUUCUCUGUGGACUCUUUGCUCAUUCUAAUCACAAAAUGGUUUCCAUUUCCAAGUCUCACAUCAGUAACACAGUUUUUGUUUGGAGUUAUUUUCACUGGGCGUCCUCUGUUUCAGUGUCUGAUGUGUGUUGAGCGUUACCUGGCAGUGGUUCAUCCUGUAACCUUUCUGAAGGACAAACCUCUCAGAUACAGAGUGAUCUGCUGCACUAUGGCCUGGAUAUUUAUUUUUGGCUCUUGUUUGUUCUGCAUGUUCAGUUUUCUCUCAUUUCCUGUUUAUGUAUAUGUAUGGUUCUACUCACUGCAGCUUGUACUCUACCUCUUCAUCCAGUUGUUUUGUCUUGUGGCUGUUCUCGGAGCUCUGAAGCAGUCAGGACCAGGAGAGAGAGGGAGAGAGAGAGAGGAGGAAAACCACAUGAAGAGAAGAGCAUUUCAUUUAAUCCGAGUAACUACUGCUAUAGGUUGGUCAUCACAUAUGCUCCAUUUACUAUAACUGGAUUGCACUCUAUUGCGACACUGCAGAAUAUUCAGAUUGCUUGGUCGCUUAGUUAUAUUUGUUUUAUGCUGGCUGGUUUUGUUGAGCCUGGUCUUUAUCUGCACCAGACUGGAAAACUCUCCUUCUUCUGUUCUCCAAACAAAAAAACGUAACUGAGAGAUUUGGUUAUAAAUCCUUUUUAUUGUCUGCUUUGUGCCAGAGUCCUGAUUACCUGAUUGUUUUAUUUUGUUAAUUUUGCUAAAUAAAUAAAUGCACAGGGAAAGUUCAUUUGAGAGAUUAACACAAGUUGAGCAGAAUAUCUGAGCAGUCAGAAUAAUGUUCUCCA